rnacentral:rRNA from 1 species
AAAAAGCUCGUAGUCGGAUUUUGGCUGAGAACGGUCGGUCCGCCGUUAGGUGUGCACUGACUGGUCUCAGCUUCCUGGUGAGGAGGUGUGCUUCAUCGCCACUUAGUCACCGUGGUUACUUUGAAAAAAUUAGAGUGUUCAAAGCGGGCUUACGCUUGAAUAUAUUAGCAUGGAAUAACACCAUAGGACUCCUGUCCUAUUUCGUUGGUCUCGGGACGGGAGUAAUGAUUAAGAGGAACAGUUGGGGGCAUUCGUAUUUCAUUGUCAGAGGUGAAAUUCUUGGAUUUAUGAAAGACGAACUUCAGCGAAAGCAUUUGCCAAGGAUGUUUUCAUUGAUCAAGAACGAAAGUUGGGGGCUCGAAGAUGAUUAGAUACCAUCCUAGUCUCAACCAUAAACGAUGCCGACUAGGGAUUGGCGGAUGUUAAUUGAUGACUUCGCCAGCACCUUAUGAGAAAUCAAAGUUUUUGGGUUCCGGGGGGAGUAUGGUCGCAAGGCUGAAACUUAAAGGAAUUGACGGAAGGGCACCACCAGGCGUGGGGCCUGCGGCUUAAUUUGGCUCAACACGGGGAAACUUACCAGGUCCAGACAUAGUAAGGAUUGACAGAUUGAGAGCUCUUUC